rnacentral:rRNA from 1 species
UAUUAUACCUUGCUGAAAAUGAAAAAAUACUUGAAGAGUAACUAGUUAUGUUCUUGAAACUUAAAGGAUUUGGCGGUAUUUUAGUCUAGUUAGGGGAACCUGUUUUAUAAACGAUAUACCACGCAGUAUCUUACCUUUUAUUAGUAAAAUCAGUUUGUAUACCGUCAUUAUUAGAUAAUCUCAAAAGGGAGUUAUUAGAAAAGUAAAUAUUAUUUAUAUAUUAGAUCAAGGUGCAGCUUAUAUGGAGGAAAUAAAUGGGUUACAAUAUAAUUUAUAUAUACGGAGAUUAUAAUAGAAUAUUAUAUGGAAGGUGGACUUAAAGGUAAUGGUUUUUUAGUAUGGUAUUAUGAUAUUGGCUCUAAAAUAU